rnacentral:lncRNA from 1 species
GGUGCCCGGGUGGCCGAGUGAGGGUCCUCAGCUGAUCCAGUGUUUGACGGAGAUUUCAAGGUAGCUGCAUGGCGUCCACAACCCUAUUUUCUCCUCCCUAUCUUGUUCAUUUUCUGCAUUUUUCUAGACAUAUAAUGUAUUAUAUAUUCAGUCAUGUAUUAGAGGCUCUAGAUUCGUGACACCAGAUACUUAGGGGCUGUGUAGUUUCAUGUUUAUUUGACUUGUGC